UACGAAGGGGGCUAGCGUUGCUCGGAAUCACUGGGCGUAAAGGGCGCGUAGGCGGCCAUUCAAGUCGGGGGUGAAAGCCUGUGGCUCAACCACAGAAUUGCCUUCGAUACUGUUUGGCUUGAGUUUGGUAGAGGUUGGUGGAACUGCGAGUGUAGAGGUGAAAUUCGUAGAUAUUCGCAAGAACACCAGUGGCGAAGGCGGCCAACUGGACCAAUACUGACGCUGAGGCGGCGAAAGCGUGGGGAGCAAACAGG
rnacentral:rRNA from 1 species